rnacentral:rRNA from 1 species
CUUUUUUUUCGAUUAGAACUCUUAAAAAAAAUAACGCUGUUAUCCCUAAGGUAAUUUUUUCUUGUAAUCUAAACAAUUUUUAGGAUCAUAAUAUUUACAUAUCAGUAUUUAAUUAAAAAAAAAGUUUAUUUAAUUUUUUAAUCACCCCAACCAAAUAUUUUUAAAAUAAAAAAAGACAAUUCUUAAUCUAAAUUACUAAAAUAAAAAUAUAAAACUCUAUAGGGUCUUCUCGUCUUUUACAUAAAUUUAAGCUUUUUUACUUAAAAAUAAAAUUCAAAAUUUUAAAACUGAGACAGAAGUUUUUUCAUCAAACCUUUCAUUCCAGCUUCUAAUUAAGAAACUAAUGAUUAUGCUACCUUAGCACGGUCAAAAUACCGCGGCCAUUUAA